UUGGACUGAAAAUGUUCUCAGGUGUAUAACUGUGGUCUGAGUUCAGAAAACUGAGCCUAAAGUAUUCUGGUGCAUUAAGCUUAUCACCUGCUCCAUUUAGUGGCAGAAUGAUAAAACCCAUGUUCCAACAGAC